UUGAUGGCGACCGGCGCACGGGUGAGUAACGCGUAUCCAACCUGCCUCAUACUCGGGGAUAGCCUUUCGAAAGAAAGAUUAAUACCCGAUGUUAUAGUCCUACCGCAUGAUGGGAUUAUUAAAGAAUUUCGGUAUGGGAUGGGGAUGCGUUCCAUUAGUUAGUUGGCGGGGUAACGGCCCACCAAGACAACGAUGGAUAGGGGUUCUGAGAGGAAGGUCCCCCACAUUGGAACUGAGACACGGUCCAAACUCCUACGGAAGGCAGCAG
rnacentral:rRNA from 1 species